rfam:Schistosoma haematobium scaffold925_6, whole genome shotgun sequence.
GUCAGAUAUGGUGAUAUGAUACCAUCUACAGUAUUGGGUAAAAUAAUUGGUAGUAUUUGUUCUUUAUGCGGUGUAUUAGUUAUAGCUUUACCAGUACCAGUAAUUGUAUCAAAU